GACGAACGCUGGCGGCGUGCUUAACACAUGCAAGUCGUACGAGGGCCCCGGUGCUUGCACUGGGUGACCCGAGUGGCGAACGGGUGAGUAACACGUGACCAACCUGUCCUAGGGUGAGGGACAACCCGGGGAAACCUGGGCUAAUACCGCAUGAUGUCACACAAACGCAUGUGCGUGUGAUCAAAGAGGGCCUCUGCUUGCAAGCUCUCGCCCAAGGAGGGGGUCGCGGCGUAUCAGUUAGUUGGUAGGGUAACGGCCUACCAAGACGACGACGCGUAGCGGAUCUGAGAGGAUGAUCCGUCACAUUGGGACUGAGAUACGGCCCAGACUCCUACGGGAGGCAGCAGUGGGGAAUAUUGCGCAAUGGGCGAAAGCCUGACGCAGCGACGCCGCGUGUGGGAGGAAGCCUUUCGGGGUGUAAACCACUGUCAGAGGGGAAGAACAGCGUCCAUGUCGAACAGGCAUGGCGUUUGACGGUACCCUCAAAGGAAGCGCCGGCUAACUCCGUGCCAGCAGCCGCGGUAAGACGGAGGGCGCAAGCGUUGUUCGGAAUUACUGGGCGUAAAGCGCGGGCAGGUUGUCCGUUAAGUCGUCUGUGAAAACCCGGGGCUCAACCCCGUGGAAUGCAGACGAUACUGGCGGGCUGGAGAUCGGUAGAGGCUAGCGGAAUUCCUGGUGUAGCGGUGGAAUGCGUAAAUAUCAGGAAGAACACCCGUGCCGAAGGCGGCUAGCUGGGCCGAGUCUGACRCUCAUCCGCGAAAGCGUGGGGAGCAAACAGGAUUA
rnacentral:rRNA from 1 species